UACGAAGGGGGCUAGCGUUGUUCGGAAUUACUGGGCGUAAAGCGCGCGCAGGCGGUCUUCCAAGUCAGUGGUGAAAGCCCGGAGCUCAACUCCGGAACUGCCAUUGAAACUGUUAGACUUGAGGAUGAGAGAGGUGAGCGGAAUUCCCAGUGUAGAGGUGAAAUUCGUAGAUAUUGGGAAGAACACCGGUGGCGAAGGCGGCUCACUGGCUCAUUACUGACGCUCAGGCGCGAUAGCGUGGGGAUCAAACAGG
rnacentral:rRNA from 1 species